AUUAACGUAAUUUUUCAUGAAAGUUGCAUAACUUAGAUCCCUAAGAGUCUAAAAAGUACUCAUAUGCGCAUACAAACUGCAAAAUAGAUCAAAAAUAUGAAAAAAACUAAGAACAAAAAGGUAGGACGUAUACGUCCCACUGCCCCUCAAAGGAAUAAUAUUUCAAUUUUUAUAUAA